GAAAUGCGAUAAGUAAUGUGAAUUGCAGAAUUCAGUGAAUCAUCGAAUCUUUGAACGCACAUUGCGCCCGCCAGUAUUCUGGCGGGCAUGCCCGUUCGAGCGUCAUUACAACCCUCAGGCCCCCGGGCCUGGCGUUGGGGAUCGGCGGAAGCCCCCUGCGGGCACAACGCCGUCCCCCAAAUACAGUGGCGGUCCCGCCGCAGCUUCCAUUGCGUAGUAGCUAACACCUCGCAACUGGAGAGCGGCGCGGCCACGCCGUAAAACACCCAACUUCUGAAUGUUGACCUCGAAUCAGGUAGGAAUACCCGCUGAACUUAAGC
rnacentral:misc_RNA from 1 species